GUCGGUAUUGCAAUGCACUAAUUAGCAUAUAUGAAUUUACCUGUAUGACGAUACAAUGAGCCUAGCAUUCUUUAUUUUUAUCUCCAAACGCGUAAAUAUGGGUCAACCCGUGUGUACAAUUAAUGCAAGCGUAAAAUGGAAUGUUUACUACAUACAUAUGUUUUAUUUUUAUUAUUUCCAGGGUAAUGGAUUUACAUCUACCAGCUAGAGUCCAAGUGUUUGGGCUGGCCUAAAAGAAAAAUCAAAAGAUGCUCAUUGAUACUGCAAGAAGUAAAGAGUUGAUACAGAAAAAACCCAGACUGCCUGGAAAUGAGCGCGUUACAGCGAGAGACGGAUCUUGACAAUUUUAAACCAUUGUAAUGUUGCUUUAUUUGGCGGGUAACCGAUCUGGACAAUUAACCAUUGGAAUGUUGCUUUAUUUGGCAGGUAACCGAUCUGGACAAUUAACCAUUGGAAUGUUGCUUUAUUUGGCAGGUAACCGAUCUGGACAAUUAACCAUUGGAAUGUUGCUUUAUUUUGCGGGUAACCGAUCUGGACAAUUAACCAUUGGAAUGUUGCUUUAUUUGAUCUAUAUUGAACUGUCGUUGCAUUUAUAUUUACGUCAUGAUACUUUGAUCCAUUGUUAAUUUUAAUUUAGCAAUUUACAUUAAUUUAUGUGAUUAAUUACUAAGUGUUACCAUGUCAUAGUGACAAAGAUCAACUUUGUAUUCUUCCAAGAGUCAGCAUAUUUUUGCUUUCUAUUAUUUUGCCAUUUUGUCACCUUUGAAGCAGUUUAGAUCUGCAUUCAUUAGAUUUUAUCUUGUGUAACAACUGAAAAGACACAAAAUGGACUGAGUAAAUACGAAUAUAUAGACGAUAUUUUGUAAACCAAAAAGUUGAUAUUUUGUAAACCUCUGAGAUACUGAAAGGUGAAAAAAUAAAAGGUGUCGAAAAGUGGGCUAUUUCUGUAUCUUUUUACCAUACUAAAGGUGUACAAAAGACAAACUUUUAAACCUUUCCAAAAAAUUCAGAAGGACCAUAAAAAAUAUAAAAAAGGUAAACAAAACGUAGCCUUUCAAUCACCUUUUGUCAUGUACAAAAGGCGUUUUUUCGUGCAGUUUAAUUAUCCAUGAAAAUAAUAUGAAAAAAAAUAAUUAAUAAAACUGGCUUAGAUCCGCCAAAGCGUCUCUGCCACUACAUGUAUAUUCACAUUUUUGCUAUUUCAGGGUAGUUUAUCGAAAACGAAAAUGGGGUUUUAAUUAAAUCUGCGACAGUAACUAAUCAAGUAAGAUUCUAUUCUAGCUUACGGACUUCACCUCAUCACAAUUGGUUAACUGAUGCCAGGAACUUGCUACAUAAUUUAGGACUUGGAUAUGCUUGGAAUAACCAGAAUGUUGAAAAGAAAUUAGCAUUUAUUUCUAGUUGUAAUCAAUUUAUAAAUGAUUUAUUAAAGCUGUAUGACCC